UCCGUGAGAUGUCUCAAAGAG
rnacentral:siRNA from 1 species